UGUCCCAUUGCUGUUCUGUCAGCAGUUGGACCAGAAGAGCCCGCUGACCGCCCGCUCCUGCCAUGAGUGUGGGUCCCCUGAGCUGUGUGGUCCUUUGUCUCCUGCUGGCAGGUCCAGUCAAUGCUGGUGUCACUCAGAGCCCCAAGUUCCAGGUCCUAAAGACAGGACAGAGCCUGACCUUGAGAUGUGCCCAGGAUAUGAACUAUGACUACAUGUGCUGGUACCGCCAGGACCCAGGGCUGGGGCUGAAGCUCAUUUAUUACUCAGCUGUCCAAGGCACCCAUGAGAAAGGAGAUGAUCCCGACGGGUACAACGCGUCUAGACCAAGCACAAAGGAGUUCCCCCUCACGCUGCUGUCAGCUGUCCCCUCGCAGACAUCUGUGUACUUGUGUGCAGCAAUUACCACAGCCCUGCACAGCCACCUGCUGUCUGCACAUAAACCCAGGGCGGGCACUGUGCCCCUGAACCCAGUGAUGCCCUCAUCAGAGUCCCAGCAUGAGGAAGCAGGAGACCUAAAGACGCCUGAGGGCACAAAUCUAGGAUGCUCAGACUCUGAGUCCUGUGGUCUCCACAUUUCUGUUUCCAGUUACCACGUCCAGAAUCUCUGUCCUGAGAUGGUGUGCUGA